UACAGAGGUCCCAAGCGUUGUUCGGAUUCACUGGGCGUAAAGGGUGCGUAGGCGGUCGAGUAAGUCUGACGUGAAAUCUCCGGGCCUAACCCGGAAACUGCGUUGGAAACUACUUGGCUAGAGGAAUGGAGGGGAGACUGGAAUACUUGGUGUAGCAGUGAAAUGCGUAGAUAUCAAGUGGAACACCAGUGGCGAAGGCGAGUCUCUGGACAUUUCCUGACGCUGAGGCGCGAAAGCUAGGGGAGCAAACAGG
rnacentral:rRNA from 1 species